rnacentral:snRNA from 1 species
AUCGCUUCUCGGCCUUUUGGCUAAGAUCAAGUGUAGUAUCUAUUCUUAUCAGUUUAAAAUGUACAAUGUAAAGAUUCAAAAUACAUAUACAGUGUGAAAGGAUUCCCCUCCACAGGGUUAAUUAACACAUUCAUCACCUCACAUGUUUACCUUUUCUCUGUGUGAGAAAUAUU